rnacentral:rRNA from 1 species
GGGUUGUGAGGUUAAGCGACUAAGCGUACACGGUGGAUGCCCUGGCAGUCAGAGGCGAUGAAGGGCGUGCUAAUCUGCGAUAAGCGCCGGUAAGGUGAUAUGAACCGUUAUAACCGGCGAUACCCGAAUGGGGAAACCCAGUGUGAUUCGUCACACUAUCAUUACGUGAAUACAUAGGUUAAUGAGGCGAACCGGGGGAACUGAAACAUCUAAGUACCCCGAGGAAAAGAAAUCAACCGAGAUUCCCCCAGUAGCGGCGAGCGAACGGGGAGGAGCCCAGAGCCUGAAUCAGCAUGUGUGUUAGUGGAAGCGUCUGGAAAGGCGCGCGAUACAGGGUGACAGCCCCGUACACAAAAGCGCAUGUGUUGUGAGCUCGAUGAGUAGGGCGGGACACGUGGUAUCCUGUCUGAAUAUGGGGGGACCAUCCUCCAAGGCUAAAUACUCCUGACUGACCGAUAGUGAACCAGUACCGUGAGGGAAAGGCGAAAAGAACCCCGGCGAGGGGAGUGAAAAAGAACCUGAAACCGUGUACGUACAAGCAGUGGGAGCACAGGUUUACCUGUGUGACUGCGUACCUUUUGUAUAAUGGGUCAGCGACUUAUAUUCUGUAGCAAGGUUAACCGUAUAGGGGAGCCGGAGGGAAACCGAGUCUUAAUUGGGCGUUAAGUUGCAGGGUAUAGACCCGAAACCCGGUGAUCUAGCCAUGGGCAGGUUGAAGGUUGGGUAACACUAACUGGAGGACCGAACCGACUAAUGUUGAAAAAUUAGCGGAUGACCUGUGGCUGGGGGUGAAAGGCCAAUCAAACCGGGAGAUAGCUGGUUCUCCCCGAAAGCUAUUUAGGUAGCGCCUCGUGAAUUCAUCUCCGGGGGUAGAGCACUGUUUCGGCUAGGGGGCCAUCCCGGCUUACCAACCCGAUGCAAACUGCGAAUACCGGAGAAUGUUAUCACGGGAGACACACGGCGGGUGCUAACGUCCGUCGUGAAGAGGGAAACAACCCAGACCGCCAGCUAAGGUCCCAAAGUCAUGGUUAAGUGGGAAACGAUGUGGGAAGGCCCAGACAGCCAGGAUGUUGGCUUAGAAGCAGCCAUCAUUUAAAGAAAGCGUAAUAGCUCACUGGUCGAGUCGGCCUGCGCGGAAGAUGUAACGGGGCUAAACCAUGCACCGAAGCUGCGGCAGCGA